rnacentral:rRNA from 1 species
AACGCUGGCGGCGUGCUUAACACAUGCAAGUCGAACGGAAAGGCCCUGCUUUUGUGGGGUGCUCGAGUGGCGAACGGGUGCGUAACACGUGAGUAACCUGCCCUUGACUUUGGGAUAACUUCAGGAAACUGGGGCUAAUACCGGAUAGGAGCUCCUGCUGCAUGGUGGGGGUUGGAAAGUUUCGGCGGUUGGGGAUGGACUCGCGGCUUAUCAGCUUGUUGGUGGGGUAGUGGCUUACCAAGGCUUUGACGGGUAGCCGGCCUGAGAGGGUGACCGGCCACAUUGGGACUGAGAUACGGCCCAGACUCCUACGGGAGGCAGCAGUGGGGAAUAUUGCACAAUGGGCGGAAGCCUGAUGCAGCAACGCCGCGUGCGGGAUGACGGCCUUCGGGUUGUAAACCGCUUUCGCCUGUGACGAAGCGUGAGUGACGGUAAUGGGUAAAGAAGCACCGGCUAACUACGUG